UCCAUAAUUACUAAACUGUAGUAUGUGAUAAUAAUUGGCAUGAAGGGCGAUCCUAUGCAUAAUUACCAAAGCUAGCUACAAAAGGACUAAUCGAAUCUCAAUGCCUCUUUGCUUCUGUGGUUGGCAAAGAACAGUAUCAGCUAGAGGGACUCAGAGCAAGAAAGGAACUAUGUACGAGGAUUCAUUCAACAAGUUUAGAACUUUAAUGUAAUAUAAAAUGGCCUCUUCGGUUCAUCUUUCGUGGGAUAAACGAGUUGAAAGCUUUCGAUAUCGCCUAUAGAUCGUUGGAGAAGCAAGCUUUCGUAUUGGAAGAAGAAAGAAGGGGUUCAAUCGGGUCAUGCAAUUAGGUUGGGUGGUGAAAAAGGCCACCAGCCACCACCAUAUUCAUGCAAGAUGCCGCAUGAGCUUGUUUGCGUAGUGACUGCUCGCCAAUCGGAUGAUGCUGCGGGGCUAGCCACACCCCGACCGCAUGGAAAGGAGAUAUCUCCUUAUUAUCAUUCUUGAUGUCAUUGGGAGGCUGUAGUUUGUGCCGCAUGGAAAUAACACAUUGUGUAACCAGCUAAUAAAGAGGGAGUGUUUCGAAAUUAAAAUGCAAAAGUUGAAUAGAAAAUGCAUAUUAUGCAAGCAAUUUGCUUGGUUAGUUAGUCA